AACGAACGCUGGCGGCAUGCCUAACACAUGCAAGUCGAACGAGACCUUCCGGUCUAGUGGCGGACGGGUGCGUAACGCGUGGGAACCUGCCCUUAGGUUCGGAAUAACUCCCCGAAAGGGGUGCUAAUACCGGAUAAUGUCUUCGGACCAAAGAUUUAUCGCCUUUGGAUGGGCCCGCGUUGGAUUAGCUAGUUGGUAGGGUAAAAGCCUACCAAGGCGACGAUCCAUAGCUGGUCUGAGAGGAUGAUCAGCCACACUGGGACUGAGACACGGCCCAGACUCCUACGGGAGGCAGCAGUGGGGAAUAUUGGACAAUGGGCGAAAGCCUGAUCCAGCAAUGCCGCGUGAGUGAUGAAGGCCUUAGGGUUGUAAAGCUCUUUUACCCGGGAUGAUAAUGACAGUACCGGGAGAAUAAGCUCCGGCUAACUCCGUG
rnacentral:rRNA from 1 species